rnacentral:lncRNA from 1 species
AAGAUGAUGUUGAAAGGAUUCCUGACGAGAUUUCCCGACUUCUUGAGCAAGAAAAGAAGAUCACUCAGCUGCAUCUCGAGGAUCAGCAGAACAGCCAACUGGGGCAUUACAAAAAAAAAAAAAAGAGAGAGGAGGGUGCAAAAUCAAAAGAAAUCAAAAGAAAAUCAAAAGAAAGAAAAAGAAAGAAAGAAACAAAAGAAAAAUAGCACCCUCAAAGUCCCAAGUUGACUGAUGCUGAAUAGAUU